rnacentral:rRNA from 1 species
UUUCGGUAGGUACCUGCGGAAGGAUCAUUA